rfam:Oikopleura dioica, whole genome shotgun assembly, reference scaffold set, scaffold scaffold_101
UAAAUGGCUCUUUUCAGAGCCACAAAUAUUAUAAACUCCUCUCUAU